UGGCGAGUCGCGAUAAUGGACGUCGCUCCACUCCCCGCAACUGAUUCCACGUGGGGAGCUAUGGUGAUAGCCACGACUCCACCUCAUUACUCUUCAUGAUAAAUUCCUCCUGGCCCCGUACGGCCCACGAUGAGGCGAUCAUAAACAGUCGCUAUCAAUCCUCUACUCCCCCCGUCUAUAAAAAGGGGACCCCAUAUACGU
rnacentral:lncRNA from 1 species